CAUAAAAGGUCCCGCCUGCCCAGUGACCAUGUUCAACGGCCGCGGUAUUAUGACCGUGCAAAGGUAGCGUAAUCACUUGUCUUUUAAAUAAAGACCAGUAUGAAUGGCAAAACGAGGGCCUAACUGUCUCACUAGACCAGUCAGUGAAAUUAAUCUUUCAGUGCAGAAGCUGAAAUAUUUAUAUAAGACGAGAAGACCCUGUGGAGCUUUAAACCCAAGCUAAUACAUAUAAUAUCAUAGCACCCGGUUUUAGGUUGGGGCGACCAUAAGAAAAAACAAACUCUUAAAACAAUAACAGAAGGACACUUCAAACAAAUAGUAAUACUAAUAUAUUGACCCAAUAUUUGAUCAACGAACCAAGUUACCCCAGGGAUAACAGCGCAAUCCACUCACAGAGCCCAUAUCGACGAGCGGGUUUACGACCUCGAUGUUGGAUCAGGACCACCUACUGGUGCAACAACUAUUAAAGGUUCGUUUGUUCAACGAUUAAAGU
rnacentral:rRNA from 1 species